UGCCCAGUGACUAGAGGUUAAACGGCCGCGGUAUCUUGACCGUGCGAAGGUAGCAUAAUCAUUUGUCUCCUAAAUAGAGACUAGUAUGAAUGGCAAGACGGAACUAAACUGUCUCUUUUUCACAACCCCGAAUUCACUUCCUUGUGAAGAGGCAAGGAUAAAAUCGUUAGACGAGAAGACCCUGUCGAGCUUAUAGCAAAGUUUAGCCUCUACCAUAUUUAAGCUGCCCUAAUUUUGAUGAUAGGCAAAUAAUUUUGGGGGAUAACCAAAGCUUUGGUGGGGCAACCGCGGAGCAGAAAACCUCCCUAACAUAAACAUUAAGUAAGAACAACAUUCUAAAUCAAAAUGAA
rnacentral:rRNA from 1 species